rnacentral:rRNA from 1 species
GUGGGGAAUAUUGCACAAUGGGCGAAAGCCUGAUGCAGCAACGCCGCGUGAGGGACGACGGCCUUCGGGUUGUAAACCUCUUUUAGUAGGGAAGAAGCGAAAGUGACGGUACCUGCAGAAAAAGCACCGGCUAACUACGUGCCAGCAGCCGCGGUAAUACGUAGGGUGCAAGCGUUAUCCGGAAUUAUUGGGCGUAAAGAGCUCGUAGGCGGUCUGUCGCGUCUGCUGUGAAAACUGGAGGCUCAACCUCCAGCCUGCAGUGGGUACGGGCAGACUAGAGUGCGGUAGGGGAGAUUGGAAUUCCUGGUGUAGCGGUGGAAUGCGCAGAUAUCAGGAGGAACACCGAUGGCGAAGGCAGAUCUCUGGGCCGUAACUGACGCUGAGGAGCGAAAGCGUGGGGAGCAAACAGGAUUAGAAACCCGUGUAGUCC